rnacentral:rRNA from 1 species
AAUUCGCCCUUAGAGUUUGAUCCUGGCUCAGGACUAACGCUGGCGGCGUGCCUAAUACAUGCAAGUCGAACGGUCGUGCGUUUGUAGCAAUAUGGACGUACGAUAGUGGCGAACGGGUGAGUAACACGUGGAAAACCUACCCUCGAGCGGGGGAUAACUCCGGGAAACUGGGGCUAAUACCGCAUGACAUCCCAACCUGGCAUCGGGAGGGGAUCAAAGCCGAAAGGCACUUGAGGAUGGUUCCGCGGCCUAUCAGCUAGUUGGCGGGGUAACGGCCCACCAAGGCGACGACGGGUAGCCGGCCUGAGAGGGCGAUCGGCCACAAGGGGACUGAGACACGGCCCCUACUCCUACGGGAGGCAGCAGUAGGGAAUUUUGCUCAAUGGGGGAAACCCUGAAGCAGCGACGCCGCGUGGGCGACGAAAUCCUUCGGGAUGUAAAGCCCUUUUAACCGGGACGAAAUACAUGACGGUACCGGUGGAAUAAGCCUCGGCUAACUCCGUGCCAGCAGCCGCGGUAAGACGGGGGAGGCAAGCGUUGUCCGGAAUCACUGGGUGUAAAGGGCGUGUAGGCGGGCCGGCUAGUCGGUUGUUAAAUCUCUCCGCUCAACGGAGAAGCUGCGGCCGAUACUUCCGGUCUUGAGUGCGGCAGGGGAGGAUGGAAUUCCUGGUGUAGCGGUGAAAUGCGUAGAUAUCAGGAGGAACACCGGUGGCGAAGGCGGUCCUCUGGGCCUGCACUGACGCUGAGUGCGCGAAAGCUGGGGUAGCAAACAGAAUUAGAUACUCUGGUAGUCCCAGCCCUAAAC